GACGAACGCUGGCGGCGUGCUUAACACAUGCAAGUCGAACGAAGAGCGACGGAAGCUUGCUUCUAUCAAUCUUAGUGGCGAACGGGUGAGUAACGCGUAAUCAACCUGCCCUUCAGAGGGGGACAACAGUUGGAAACGACUGCUAAUACCGCAUACGAUCUAAUCUCGGCAUCGAGGAUGGAUGAAAGGUGGCCUCUACAUGUAAGCUAUCACUGAAGGAGGGGAUUGCGUCUGAUUAGCUAGUUGGAGGGGUAACGGCCCACCAAGGCGAUGAUCAGUAGCCGGUCUGAGAGGAUGAACGGCCACAUUGGGACUGAGACACGGCCCAGACUCCUACGGGAGGCAGCAGUGGGGAAUCUUCCGCAAUGGACGAAUGUCUGACGGAGCAACGCCGCGUGAGUGAUGACGGCCUUCGGGUUG
rnacentral:rRNA from 1 species